UACGUAGGGUGCAAGCGUUGUCCGGAAUUAUUGGGCGUAAAGAGCUCGUAGGCGGUUCGUCGCGUCGGCUGUGAAAACCUGAGGCUCAACCUCAGGCCUGCAGUCGAUACGGGCGGACUUGAGUACUGCAGGGGAGACUGGAAUUCCUGGUGUAGCGGUGAAAUGCGUAGAUAUCCGGAGGAACACCGGUGGCGAAGGCGGCUUCCUGGACCGAUUACUGACGCUGAGGCGCGAAAGCUAGGGGAGCAAACGGG
rnacentral:rRNA from 1 species